AUUGAACGCUGGCGGCAUGCCUUACACAUGCAAGUCGAACGGCAGCACGGGAGCAAUCCUGGUGGCGAGUGGCGAACGGGUGAGUAAUACAUCGGAACGUGCCCAGUAGUGGGGGAUAGCCCGGCGAAAGCCGGAUUAAUACCGCAUACGACCUGAGGGUGAAAGCGGGGGAUCGCAAGACCUCGCGCUAUUGGAGCGGCCGAUGUCGGAUUAGCUAGUUGGUGGGGUAAAGGCUCACCAAGGCAACGAUCUGUAGCUGGUCUGAGAGGACGACCAGCCACACUGGGACUGAGACACGGCCCAGACUCCUACGGGAGGCAGCAGUGGGGAAUUUUGGACAAUGGGCGCAAGCCUGAUCCAGCCAUGCCGCGUGCGGGAAGAAGGCCUUCGGGUUGUAAACCGCUUUUGUCAGGGAAGAAAAGACUCCUGUUAAUACCGGGGGUUCAUGACGGUACCUGAAGAAUAAGCACCGGCUAACUACGUGCCAGCCGCCGCAGUAAUAC
rnacentral:rRNA from 1 species